GGAGGAUUAGCUCAGCUGGGAGAGCACUUGCCUUACAAGCAAGGGGGGGUCGCAGGUUCGAGCCCUGCAUCCUCCA
rfam:Gracilibacillus boraciitolerans JCM 21714 DNA, contig:contig_81.